AAGUCACUUUAAAACUCUUUUAACAAGACAAACAUGAACCCAAAAAUCCACCCUUUGGAUUUGGCCGAAUCUCCCCACAUACAUGGCACCAAAUUUUAGUUCCAAUAUUCAUGCUUAAAUGAACUACAUCUACAACAUUUGAGAUGCUAAAUUUUCAAGCAAAAUUUAAAUUCAAAAGCAAGAACAAAGCUUGUAACAUUUACAACAUUUAAAUCACAAACCAUGAAAAACACAAAACCCAAAAGGAUUCACCAUAAACUAGACCUAGGCUCUUGAUACCACUUGAAAGAAACAUUUUGUCCUAGCUAAGAACAUGUGAGAAUAUUUGAACACAUAGGCAAACUAUUAACAUAUUAAAGUAGGCAUGCAUUCAAAAACAAUUCUAAAACCCAUGACUUUCAAAGCCUAGUGAAUGGUGAACCAUGAGACUCUUCAACAACAUUAAAGAGAAUGAAGGAUUUAGAGAUUCAUUACCCUUGAAGCUCAUCCUUGUUUACACAAGGGAUUCACCCAAGUGGAGGGCCUUCAAGUCACCUCCUAGCUCCUUGGAUCUUCCUUGUGAUUUUCUUCCUUUUGAUGCUCCUUUGCUCCUUGAGGAUGUGAGGAAAGGAUCUCCAAAAACACCAAAGAUUUGGUGUCUCUAAGUCUCCACACCAAGGAUGAGGUGUGAAGAUGAAAUGGAUGACUUAGAGAAGAAAGGAUUGCUAGCUAUCUCUUCCCUAAGUGGCCGGCCUCUUUUAGAGAAAAAAAAGAGAAAGUGUUUCUCAUCUUUGUCUCAAGAAAACCCUAAUGAGGUAAAAGCUAUAAAGAUGCUUUUAUAUCUCUUUUCUUAGGUGAGUGGCAAACUUGCAAUUAAGCAAAACUUCCCACUACCCUUGCUAUAGCCGGCCAUCUUGUGUGAUUGGGCUAUUUGCCCAUAUUUGUUUUAGUUGUUAUACAACUUAAACAUAAUGGACCUAGUGGACCAAACCCUUUUGGACCCGGAAGCCCAAAACUAACUUAAAAGCCCAAUACGAACCUUUCGUAUAAUUA
rnacentral:lncRNA from 1 species